GACGAACGCUGGCGGCGUGCUUAACACAUGCAAGUCGAACGGAAAGGCCCUGCUUUUGUGGGGUGCUCGAGUGGCGAACGGGUGAGUAACACGUGAGUAACCUGCCCUUGACUUUGGGAUAACUUCAGGAAACUGGGGCUAAUACCGGAUAGGAGCUCCUGCUGCAUGGUGGGGGUUGGAAAGUUUCGGCGGUUGGGGAUGGACUCGCGGCUUAUCAGCUUGUUGGUGGGGUAGUGGCUUACCAAGGCUUUGACGGGUAGCCGGCCUGAGAGGGUGACCGGCCACAUUGGGACUGAGAUACGGCGCAGACUCCUACGGUAGGCAGCAGUGGGGAAUAUUGCACAAUGGGCGGAAGCCUGAUGCAGCAACGCCGCGUGCGGGAUGACGGCCUUCGGGUUGUAAACCGCUUUCGCCUGUGACGAAGCGUGAGUGACGGUAAUGGGUAAAGAAGCACCGGCUAACUACGUG
rnacentral:rRNA from 1 species